rnacentral:misc_RNA from 1 species
AAGUCGUAACAAGGUCUCCGUUGGUGAACCAGCGGAGGGAUCAUUACAGAGAAUCUCUCUCUCUCUCACCAUGGCGAACGUAAACCCCCCCAACGACGUUCUUCGGCGGAGCGGCCCCCGUGGCGGCGCCGCCGGAGAGCCCCUACAAACGCUGUAUUUUCGUGGCUUCUCUGAGUAUGAUUAUCGCAAUCAGUCAAAACUUUCAACAACGGAUCUCUUGGCUCUG